CAGCAGGCGCGUAAAUUGCCCGAAUCCUGACACAGGGAGGUAGUGACAAGAAAUAACAAUACAGGGCUACAUCUAGUCUUGUAAUUGGAAUGAGUACAAUUUACAUCUCUUCACGAGGAUCAAUUGGAGGGCAAGUCUGGUGCCAGCAGCCGCGGUAAUUCCAGCUCCAAUAGCGUAUAUUAAAGUUGUUGCAGUUAGAACGCUCGUAGUCGGAUUUCGGGGCGGGUCGACCGGUCUGCCGAUGGGUACGCACUGGCCGACGCGUCCUUCCUUCCGGAGACCGUCUCACUCUUAACUGAGCGGAGGCGGGAGACGGAACGUUUACUUUGAAAAAAUCAGAGUGUUUCAAGCAGGCAGCUCGCUCUUGCAUGGAUUAGCAUGGGAUAAUGAAAUAGGACUUUGGUGCUAUUUUGUUGGUUUCGAACACCGAAGUAAUGAUGAGCAGGGACAGUCAGGGGCACUCGUAUUCCGCCGAGAGAGGUGAAAUUCUCAGACCAGCGGAAGACGAACUACUGCGAAAGCAUUUGCCAGGGAUGUUUUCACUGAUCAAGAACGAAAGUUAGGGGAUCGAAGACGAUCAGAUACCGUCGUAGUCUUAACCAUAAACCAUGCCGACUAGGGAUUGGAGGAUGUUCACUUAUUGACUCCUUCAGCACCUUACGGGAAACUAAAGUCUUUGGGUUCCGGGGGGAGUAUGGUCGCAAGGCUGAAACUUAAAGGAAUUGACGGAAGGGCACCACCAGG
rnacentral:rRNA from 1 species